AAUACCUGCGGACCAGAAAGCAUGUACACACGGAAGGGAGAUAGGCUGAACAAAUCUUUAAGGAGCACGCCACGCUAUCAGCUCGUCUAAUCCAAAUGCCAGCAGGGGAAGAAAUUCGACAAAAAUCGUCGGAAUGGAUUGCAAUUGUAGGAACGAAUGGCUGAUCUUGAGAGUGCAUUCCUGACCAGGGACAACAGGUUAUCAGCGACAGAACAUUCGUUUCCCUUUCCUAACGCAUGGAUGUCAACUGGAUAAAACGAAGAUUAAUUGCAAGAUAAUAUGGCGCGAAUGGGAUCAACGGACACGUUCUAAUCGGAUAAAAAGCCGAUUAUUCUUUGAUCCGUUCGCGGUCGACGAUAUGUCAAAGUUCAUCCAAAACAAAUCUGGAGCGCGAGAUCUCCAAAUAUUUACUCGAGUUUGUUUAAGAGAUUAGCCGGUAGUCAAAUUAUAUAUUAUAUUUCAACAUAAGCUGACACAUGUUCGGAGAUGCUUUUAUGCUGCUCACGACCACUACCGGUAUUAAUAUUUUGACGGUCGUAUGAUUCACAGAACUGUUUAACGAGUACAGUGUACAUAACUCGAAUACAAUUAACACGAGUCUUUAUGAAUAACAAGGGAAGAUUAAAUAUCUCAGAAGCUAUAAAAAAAGAAUGAUUUAUUACUCAGAAAAACUACUUAACGAGCAGGGCUAAAAGCAAUUUAAACUUCAAUAAUAGAAGAAUAAUAUCAUUUACCAGAGACACAGGAGGGGCAUAACCAGAAAUGUAAAACACACAGAUCGUUUACCUGCUCGGACAGGCGUUGAUCUUGUAAGUGAUAUUGAAACCGCUCAUGU